GGCUUUUUGAUUAUAAUUUAAAGUCUGGCCUGCCCAAUGAGUUUUUAAAUGGCCGCGGUAUUUUGACCGUGCAAAGGUAGCAUAAUCAUUAGUUUUUUAAUUGAAAGCUGGAAUGAAAGGUUGGAUGAAAAAAUAACUGUCUCUAUUUAAAUUUUUUAGAAAUUUAUUUUUAAGUUAAAAAGCUUAAAUAUAAUUAGAAGACGAGAAGACCCUAUAGAGUUUUAUUAAUUUCUAUUAUAAUGCCUUUAGAAUUCACUUUUUUAUAAUAUUAAUUAAUUUAAUUGGGGUGAUUGAAAAAUUUAAUAAACUUUUUUUACAUUUAUACAUUUAUUUAUGAGUAAAUGAUCCUUAGAUAAAGAUUAUAAGAUACAAUUACCUUAGGGAUAACAGCGUAAUUUUUUUAAAGAGUUCAAAUCGAAAAAAAAGAUUGCGACCUCGAUGUUGGAUUAAAAUAAAAUUUUGGUGUAGAAGCUAAAGUAUUUAGGUCUGUUCGACCUUUAAAAUUUUACAUGAUCUGAGUUUAAACCGGUGUGAGCCAGGUUGGUUUCUAUCUCUAUUAAAUUUAAAUAUUUUAGUACGAAAGGACCAAGUAUUUGAUUAAAAAUCUUGUUUAAGAAUAAAAUU
rnacentral:rRNA from 1 species